AAAGAAGCAGGGAGGGGUGAAAGGUGUUGAGGAGAUGAAAUGCCAGGGGUUUACAGUCAGGGCUCUCACACCAGGUUUCAAUUCACAGCUGCAGGUAAGACACUGUUCUGGGGCUCCCAGAAUCCCUCAGAUCUUCCAAGAGAGAUGAAAACCUCCAUCCCCAAAAAGAGAAAACUCUCUAUUUUCAAGUGGACUGUUCCUAUCAAGAGAAUUCUAUGAAAUGUUAAUUUUUUUAAACUUAUAAUAUUGAUUCUUUUCUGUAUAAAGAAA
ensembl:lncRNA novel transcript